GCAUCAGGAGCCGAAGAAGGACGUGACAAGCUGCGAAAAGCUGCGGUUAGGAGCAAAUAUCCAUAGACCCGCAGAUAUCCGAAUGGGGAAACCCGGUACGGCAAUACCGUAUCACUGCAUGGUAAAUACAUAGCCAUGUGGAGGAAACCCUCUGAACUGAAACAUCUAAGUAGGAGGAGGAAGAGAAAGAAACAUCGAUUUCCUAAGUAGCGGCGAGCGAAAGGGAAAGAGGCCAAACCAGAGAUAGCAAUAUCUUUGGGGUUGCGGACUGCAUAAUUGAUUUAACAUCUUUAGCAGAAGUGUAUGGGAAGACACACCAUAGUAGGUAAUAGUCCUGUAAGCGAAAGGGAUGUUAACAUGGCAGUAUCCAGAGUACCACCGGACACGAGGAACCCGGUGGGAAGCCGGGGGGACCACCCCCCAAGCCUAAAUACUACCUAGAGACCGAUAGUGAAACAGUACAGUGAUGGAAAGUUGAAAAGAACCCCGGAAGGGGAGUGAAAAAGAAUCUGAAACCCUAUGUUUACAAGCUGCUAAAGCACUUUAUAUGUGCGAUAGCGUACUUUUUGUAGAACGGUCCGGCGAGUGUAUGUUGCAAGCGAGGUUAAGGUGUUAAGCACUGAAGCCGAAGGGAGACCGAGUGUGAAUAGCGCGUACAGUUUGCAGUAUACGACCCGAAACCGGGUGACCUAACCAUGGACAGGUUGAAGUGGAAGUAAAAUUCCAUGGAGGACCGAACCCACGUCUGUUGAAAAAGGCGGGGAUGAGCUGUGGUUAGCGGUGAAAUUCCAAUCGAACUCGGAUAUAGCUGGUUCUCAUCGAAAUAGCUUUAGGGCUAGCCUCAGGAUAGUUUAGCGGAGGUAAAGCACUGAAUGGGCUAGGGGGCUUCACGGCUUACCGAACCCUAUCAAACUCUGAAUGCCGCAUAAAUGUUUCCUGGGAGUCAGACUGCGUGAGAUAAGUUUCGUAGUCAAAAGGGAAAGAGCCCAGACCUACAGCUAAGGUCCCUAAAUGAAUUUAAGUGGAAAAGGAUGUGCAGUUGCGUAGACAACUAGGACGUUGGCUUAGAAGCAGCCACUCAUUUAAAGAGUGCGUAAUAGCUCACUAGUCGAGUGAUUGUGCGCCGAAAAUGUAACGGGGCUAAAAUUCAUACCGAAGCUUAGGAAUGAUAGUAAUAUUGUUGGUAGAUGAGCGUUGUGUAAGUCUGCGAAGCUACACCGAAAGGAGUAGUGGAGAUAUCACAAGUGAGAAUGCCGGAAUGAGUAGCGAGAAUUAUGUGAGAAUCAUAAUGGUCGAAAAUCUAAGGUUUCUUGAGGAAGGUUCGUCCGCUCAAGGUAAGCCGGGAGCUAAGGCGAGGCCGAGAGGCGUAGUCGAUGCACAUACGGUAAAGAUUCCGUAGCCACCGAAGUCGUUAAAUACAGGGACACAGGAACAUAGCCUAACCCCACCGUUGGUUGAGUGGGGCGUAAGGGAGCGAAAAUUAGUAGCGAAGUAGGUGAUUGUACACUGGCGAGAAAAGCUGUAUGAAUUGACAAGGUGCCCGUACCGCAAACCGACACAGGUAGAUGAGGAGAGAAUCCUAAGACCAGCGGGAGAAGUGUUGUUAAGGAACUCGGCAAAAUGACCCCGUAACUUCGGGAUAAGGGGAGCCUACGCGAGUAGGCCGCAGAGAAUAGUCUCAAGCGACUGUUUAGCAAAAACACAGGUCUAUGCUAAAUCGAAAGAUGAUGUAUAUGGGCUGACGCCUGCCCGGUGCUGGAAGGUUAAGGGGAAGUGUUAGAGCAAUCGAAGCACUGAACUUAAGCCCCAGUAAACGGCGGCCGUAACUAUAACGGUCCUAAGGUAGCGAAAUUCCUUGUCAGGUAAGUUCUGACCCGCACGAAUGGCGUAACGACUUGAGAGCUGUCUCAACAACAUACCCGGCGAAAUUGAAGUACUGGUAAAGAUGCCAGUUACCCGUGAUAAGACGGAAAGACCCCAUGGAGCUUUACUGUAACUUGAUAUUGAAUUUUUGUAUUACAUGUACAGGAUAGGUGGGAGACAGAGAACUAAUGCCGCCAGGUGUUAGGGAGUCGAUGUUGGGAUACCACUCUUGUAAUAUGAAGGUUCUAACCUGCGCCCGUGAAUCCGGGUGGGGGACACUGUCAGGUGGACAGUUUGACUGGGGCGGUCGCCUCCUAAAAGGUAACGGAGGCGUUCAAAGGUUGGUUCAGCACGGACGGAAAUCGUGCAACGAGUGCAAACGCAUAAACCAGCCUAACUGCGAGACCGACAA
rnacentral:rRNA from 1 species